rnacentral:rRNA from 1 species
CUACGGGAGGCAGCAGUGGGGAAUUUUGCGCAAUGGGCGAAAGCCUGACGCAGCAACGCCGCGUGUGUGAUGAAGGUCUUCGGAUUGUAAAGCACUUUCGACCGGGACGAACACCCCUGAGCUAACAUCUCAGGGCCUGACGGUACCGGGAGAAGAAGCACCGGCUAACUCUGUGCCAGCAGCCGCGGUAAUACAGAGGGUGCAAGCGUUGUUCGGAAUUAUUGGGCGUAAAGCGCGUGUAGGCGGCAUUGCAAGUCGGGUGUGAAAGCCCUCAGCUCAACUGAGGAAGUGCGCCCGAAACUGCAGUGCUUGAGUACCGGAGAGGGUGGCGGAAUUCCCCAAGUAGAGGUGAAAUUCGUAGAUAUGGGGAGGAACACCGGUGGCGAAGGCGGCCACCUGGACGGAUACUGACGCUGAGACGCGAAAGCGUGGGUAGCAAACAGGAUUAGAUACCCCGGUAGA